CGGGCAGAUGGGGAAGUUCGACCGUGUUAAGCUGCAGAGGUUUGGGAUUUGUGACCCAGAGCAGUUAGCUCUUACCUUAGGGAGGGCAGGAAGACGAAGAGGUUGAGGGGCACUGGGCAGAAGUGGGGCGUGCAGGGUUGCGGUGUAAUUGCACAGAUGGGGGGGCCCGGGGACGACCCCCGAGGGCUCUGUGCAGUGGAGAAGAUAAUGAGGAAGCCGAGGUGGAAACCGAGCCCCUUCUCUUGCUAACCGGGUGGUCUGGGGCCGGUGUCGGGACGACCGAUGGCUCUAAUUGAGGGGAGAUGGCUCCCUGAGCAGCGCAGGGAGCUGGGCUCUACCCGGACCGACACCAGCUUUCCGGGGCAGGACCGAAGCCACAGAGUCUCAGUCGUCGGGGAGGGGGUCGCGAAACACCCCCAGUGGGUCACAGGGAGCCCUCCUAGAAGCCACGCUACUCUAAGUGGGCGGCUGAAGGUUUAGCUAAUGCUUUUCCCUCCUUAGUGUUCGGAGUCCCAGCUUCCAAAGAGGAGCCGGAGGAAGGAAUCCAAAUGGGUCACUUGGCAGAAACAGCUCGUCAUCCCGGGUGCCCGCAGCAUGGGGGUGCGCAGUGUGGACUGGCGGGAGACGAGGCCGGGCGCACGCACCUCGGGGGGGCUCUGAAUGCCAUGCCAGUGCGUCUGGACUUGGGCGUCCAGCCGGCCUGCACUGCCUCAGAGCCAGAAAGGUGGCACGGGGUGGCCUGUGACCCGAGACGGGCACAUUUAUAGAGGGCAGUGCCUCCAAGGUGGAGCCAACGAGGACAUAAAGCAAAGAGCAGCAGGGUGGCUUCGGUGCUGUUGGACGCGGGACACAUUGCAGCCUCUGCUUCGCUGGGUCCAGGACGAGGGUCCUUCCAGCUCAGCAGUGAGUGAAUACUCUUGACCAUAAAACUCUCUGCCAACGGAAGACAUUGUAAAUAUAGAGCAACGCAGUCUGGUGGUCAUGGCUAAGGUGAGUAGGAAUGCUGAUGUGAUUCUGAGCAACAUUCUCAAUGCCUCAGUGUACAAAUGAACGGGAUAUUGAAUCCCUGAAGAUCAGAAGGCUUCUUAAAUGCAAUGAUCUAUUCUCAAUCACCUAGCAGUGGGAGGCCA
rnacentral:lncRNA from 1 species